rnacentral:rRNA from 1 species
AGUUUGAUCACAUGGCUCAGAUUGAACGCUGGCGGGAUUACAUGCAAGUCGAACGGCAGCACGGACUUCGGUCUGGUGGCGAGUGGCGAACGGGUGAGUAAUGUAUCGGAACGUGCCUGGUAGCGGGGGAUAACUACGCCAGCGUAGCUAAUACCGCAUACGCCCUUCGGGGAAAGCGGGGGACCUUCGGGCCUCGCACUAUUAGAGCGGCCGAUAUCGGAUUAGCUAGUUGGUGGGGUAACGGCUCGCAAGGCGACGAUCCGUAGCUGGUUUGAGGACGACCAGCCACACUGGGACUGAGACGGCCCAGACUCUGCGGGAGGCAGCCAGUGGGGAAUUUUGGACAAUGGGGAAACCCUGAUCCAGCCAUCCCGCGUGCGAUGAAGGCCUUCAGGUUGUAAAGCACUUGCAGCAGGAAAAAAACGGCACGGGAUAAUGCAGUGCAGCUGACGGUACCUGCAGAAUAAGCACCGGCUAACUACGUGCCAGCAGCCGCGGUAAUACGUAGGGUGCAAGCGUUAAUCGGAAUUACUGGGCGUAAAGCGUGCACCGCGGAAGAGCGGUUCGAAAAGAAAGAUGUGAAAUCCCAGAGCUUAACUUUAGACUGCAUUUUUAACUACCGAGCUAGAGUGUGUCAAGAGGGAGGUGGAAUUCCGCGUGUAGCAGUGAAAUGCGUAGAUAUGGAGGAACACCACGAUGGCGGCAACCUCCUGGGAUAACGCUGACAGCUCAUGCACAGAAAGCGUGGGGAGCAAACAGGAUUAGAUACCUGGUAGUCCACGCCCUAAACGAUGUCAACUAGCUGUUGGGGCCUUCCCGGGCCUUGGUAGCGCAACUAACGCGUAAAUUGACCGCUACAAGUACGGUCGCAGAAUUAAAACUCAAAGGAAUUAAUAAGGGACCCGCACAAGCGGUGGAUGAUGUGGAUAAUUCGAUGCAACGCGAAAAACCUUACCUACCCUUGACAUGUCUGGAAUCCCGAAGAGAUUUGGGAGUGCUCGCAAGAGAACCGGAACACAGGUGCUGCAUGGCUGUCGUCAGCUCGUGUCGUGAGAUGUUGGGUUAAGUCCCGCAACCCAGGCGCAACCCUUGUCAUUAGUUGCUACGAAGGGCACUCUAAUGAGACUGCCGGUGACAAACCGGAGGAAGGUGGGGAUGACGUCAAGUCCUCAUGGCCCAUAUGGGUAGGGCUUCACGUCAUACAAUGGUCGGGACAGAGGGUCGCCAACCCGCGAGGUGUCCCAGAAACCCGAUCGUAGUCCGGAUCGCAGUCUGCAACUCGACUGCGUGAAGUCGGAAUCGCUAGUAAUCGCGGAUCAGCAUGUCGCGGUGAAUACGUUCCCGGGUCUUGUACACACCGCCCGUCACACCAUGGGAGUGGGUUUUACCAGAAGUAGUUAGCCUAACCGUAAGGAGGGCGAUUACCACGGUAGGAUUCAUGACUGGGGUAAGUCGUAACAAGGUAG